UUAAGCGACUAAGCGUACACGGUGGAUGCCCUGGCAGUCAGAGGCGAUGAAGGACGUGCUAAUCUGCGAUAAGCGUCGGUGAGGUGAUAUGAACCGUUAUAACCGGCGAUUUCCGAAUGGGGAAACCCAGUGUGUUUCGACACACUAUCAUUAACUGAAUCCAUAGGUUAAUGAGGCGAACCGGGGGAACUGAAACAUCUAAGUACCCCGAGGAAAAGAAAUCAACCGAGAUUCCCCCAGUAGCGGCGAGCGAACGGGGAGGAGCCCAGAGCCUGAAUCAGUGUGUGUGUUAGUGGAAGCGUCUGGAAAGGCGUGCGAUACAGGGUGACAGCCCCGUACACAAAAAUGCACAUAUUGUGAGCUCGAUGAGUAGGGCGGGACACGUGGUAUCCUGUCUGAAUAUGGGGGGACCAUCCUCCAAGGCUAAAUACUCCUGACUGACCGAUAGUGAACCAGUACCGUGAGGGAAAGGCGAAAAGAACCCCGGCGAGGGGAGUGAAAAAGAACCUGAAACCGUGUACGUACAAGCAGUGGGAGCCUCUUAAUGGGGGUGACUGCGUACCUUUUGUAUAAUGGGUCAGCGACUUAUAUUCUGUAGCAAGGUUAACCGAAUAGGGGAGCCGAAGGGAAACCGAGUCUUAACUGGGCGUUAAGUUGCAGGGUAUAGACCCGAAACCCGGUGAUCUAGCCAUGGGCAGGUUGAAGGUUGGGUAACACUAACUGGAGGACCGAACCGACUAAUGUUGAAAAAUUAGCGGAUGACUUGUGGCUGGGGGUGAAAGGCCAAUCAAACCGGGAGAUAGCUGGUUCUCCCCGAAAGCUAUUUAGGUAGCGCCUCGUGAAUUCAUCUCCGGGGGUAGAGCACUGUUUCGGCAAGGGGGUCAUCCCGACUUACCAACCCGAUGCAAACUGCGAAUACCGGAGAAUGUUAUCACGGGAGACACACGGCGGGUGCUAACGUCCGUCGUGAAGAGGGAAACAACCCAGACCGCCAGCUAAGGUCCCAAAGUCAUGGUUAAGUGGGAAACGAUGUGGGAAGGCCCAGACAGCCGUGAUGUUGGCUUAGAAGCAGCCAUCAUUUAAAGAAAGCGUAAUAGCUCACUGGUCGAGUCGGCCUGCGCGGAAGAUGUAACGGGGCUAAACCAUGCACCGAAGCUGCGGCAGCGACACUAUGUGUUGUUGGGUAGGGGAGCGUUCUGUAAGCCUGUGAAGGUGGCCUGUGAGGGUUGCUGGAGGUAUCAGAAGUGCGAAUGCUGACAUAAGUAACGAUAAAGCGGGUGAAAAGCCCGCUCGCCGGAAGACCAAGGGUUCCUGUCCAACGUUAAUCGGGGCAGGGUGAGUCGACCCCUAAGGCGAGGCCGAAAGGCGUAGUCGAUGGGAAACAGGUUAAUAUUCCUGUACUUGGUGUUACUGCGAAGGGGGGACGGAGAAGGCUAUGUUGGCCGGGCGACGGUUGUCCCGGUUUAAGCGUGUAGGCUGGUUUUCCAGGCAAAUCCGGAAAACCAAGGCUGAGACGUGAUGACGAGGCACUACGGUGCUGAAGCGACAAAUGCCCUGCUUCCAGGAAAAGCCUCUAAGCAUCAGGUAACAUCAAAUCGUACCCCAAACCGACACAGGUGGUCAGGUAGAGAAUACCAAGGCGCUUGAGAGAACUCGGGUGAAGGAACUAGGCAAAAUGGUGCCGUAACUUCGGGAGAAGGCACGCUGAUAUGUAGGUGAAGCGACUUGCUCGUGGAGCUGAAAUCAGUCGAAGAUACCAGCUGGCUGCAACUGUUUAUUAAAAACACAGCACUGUGCAAACACGAAAGUGGACGUAUACGGUGUGACGCCUGCCCGGUGCCGGAAGGUUAAUUGAUGGGGUUAGCGGUAACGCGAAGCUCUUGAUCGAAGCCCCGGUAAACGGCGGCCGUAACUAUAACGGUCCUAAGGUAGCGAAAUUCCUUGUCGGGUAAGUUCCGACCUGCACGAAUGGCGUAAUGAUGGCCAGGCUGUCUCCACCCGAGACUCAGUGAAAUUGAACUCGCUGUGAAGAUGCAGUGUACCCGCGGCAAGACGGAAAGACCCCGUGAACCUUUACUAUAGCUUGACACUGAACAUUGAGCCUUGAUGUGUAGGAUAGGUGGGAGGCUUUGAAGUGUGGACGCCAGUCUGCAUGGAGCCGACCUUGAAAUACCACCCUUUAAUGUUUGAUGUUCUAACGUUGGCCCGUAAUCCGGGUUGCGGACAGUGUCUGGUGGGUAGUUUGACUGGGGGCGGUCUCCUCCUAAAGAGUAACGGAGGAGCACGAAGGUUGGCUAAUCCUGGUCGGACAUCAGGAGGUUAGUGCAAUGGCAUAAGCCAGCUUGACUGCGAGCGUGACGGCGCGAGCAGGUGCGAAAGCAGGUCAUAGUGAUCCGGUGGUUCUGAAUGGAAGGGCCAUCGCUCAACGGAUAAAAGGUACUCCGGGGAUAACAGGCUGAUACCGCCCAAGAGUUCAUAUCGACGGCGGUGUUUGGCACCUCGAUGUCGGCUCAUCACAUCCUGGGGCUGAAGUAGGUCCCAAGGGUAUGGCUGUUCGCCAUUUAAAGUGGUACGCGAGCUGGGUUUAGAACGUCGUGAGACAGUUCGGUCCCUAUCUGCCGUGGGCGCUGGAGAACUGAGGGGGGCUGCUCCUAGUACGAGAGGACCGGAGUGGACGCAUCACUGGUGUUCGGGUUGUCAUGCCAAUGGCACUGCCCGGUAGCUAAAUGCGGAAGAGAUAAGUGCUGAAAGCAUCUAAGCACGAAACUUGCCCCGAGAUGAGUUCUCCCUGAGACUUAGAGUCUCCUGAAGGAACGUUGAAGACGACGACGUUGAUAGGCCGGGUGUGUAAGCGCAGCGAUGCGUUGAGCUAACCGGUACUAAUGAACCGUGAGGCUUAACCU
rnacentral:rRNA from 1 species